UACGAAGGGGGCUAGCGUUGCUCGGAAUCACUGGGCGUAAAGCGCACGUCGGCGGCUUGCUAAGUCAGGGGUGAAAUCCUGGAGCUCAACUCCAGAACUGCCUUUGAUACUGGCGAUCUUGAGUCCGGGAGAGGUGAGUGGAACUGCGAGUGUAGAGGUGAAAUUCGUAGAUAUUCGCAAGAACACCAGUGGCGAAGGCGGCGCACUGGCCCGGUACUGACGCUGAGGUGCGAAAGCGUGGGGAGCAAACAGG
rnacentral:rRNA from 1 species